rnacentral:lncRNA from 1 species
UGCUUCCACUGAUAGAAGGAAAAAAUUCAAGUGAUUGCGCCGGCUCUGCAAGCGCACACACAGUUACGUUUUGCUACCUCGACAAUGCAGCCUGUUCAUUAUCAUAAUAAAAUAGUCAGUCAAACAUAUGGGAAAAAAAAAAACACACUGCUCAGUUUAAAUAUGUAGUUAGUAAAAUCUGUGCCGUUAAGCGUUAUCACCGUAUUGCCGUGAUGUUAUGCAAAACAUUUAGUUUUAUGUGGAUAUUGGAACACCAGUUGAAGUAGGCUACAUAAUAAAUAAUAUUUUGGCAUUCAAAUACAUCGCGAAUACGGAAACAUUUGAUUUUGUGUCGAUUGAGAGACCCAACGGUGGUUUCAGUUCCGUUUUAGCCUAAAUUAAUUUGUUUUGUCUUGUCGUUUAUAUAGCUAUAGCUUCUUAUAUUUUUAAUUCUUGUUCUUUUCUAAAUACUGUUGAUUGAAAGGAUUUGUUGUGGAGUGAGGGGAACUAAAAUAGCCUAGCUAUGUUUACAGUGUUUAUUAUAAUUCUUGUAAACAUUUCGCGUCGUCAUUAGGCCUAUUUCUGAAUGAAAAUUUUUUUCUAAAAAAAACAACAAAAAAUUUAUAUAUGCAUAGCGUAUUUUAACCAUGCAGCAAACCUAUAUAUUUUGACAAAUUACUGAAAAAAAAUAAAGUAAAUGACUUUUAAACCGUUUAACUGAUUGUAUUAAUCGGUCAAAAAUUCUUACGGUCGGUUAACCGGUUAAAAUGAACAUCCCUAGUAUAAACCAAUUUUUUGGCCAUCCUAAGAGCUGUGGAAGAAUACAUUUACAAUAAAAUCUUUCAUGUGACCUGUAAUAUAAGAUAAUGGUUUCCCUUUUACUCGACAGGUGAAACAAUAAUUAUUGUCCAGCCUAUACCUAGUCCUGGUCCAGAAAUCUGCAGUGAAUCUAUAUUGGAUACAAAAUGACUUGCUCAAAUGUCCCCAUUUUGAUCCAGCCCAGUUCCACUGUCAACACCUCAGAGUCCACGCAUUUCGCAGCCAGCCAGUCUUAAGUACAACACCCAGAAAUGAGCCACCUGCCUGGUCCUAGUCCCGGUCAUUACUGAGGGGGUCCUGCUGAUGGACUCUAAGGCCCCUGAUGUAGUGUGCUGACGGCAGGGCAUCACGGCACCAGGACUAAACUGUGCCACUGCGCCAUACCCGGACUCUGACCCACUGGAAUCGAGUGGCAGUUUGCCAAAAGACAAAGAAGCCUCUGCCAAUCUCAUCUGUGUCUCCAUUGGUGUGUAUGUCUGUCUGUUCGUAUAUAACUACACGUU